GCAGACACAUUCCAGCCAAUCAGCAGCAGACCCUCCCUCCCAGACCCUCCCACCUCCUGGACAGCAUCCAUUGCAAAGCUGCAUUCUUAGUGAGCUGUCCAGGAGGUGGGAGGGUCUGGGAGGGAGGGUCUGCUGCUGAUUGGCUGGAAUGUGUCUG